UACGGGAGGCAGCAGUGGGGAAUAUUGCACAAUGGGCGCAAGCCUGAUGCAGCCAUGCCGCGUGUAUGAAGAAGGCCUUCGGGUUGUAAAGUACUUUCAGUCGUGAGGAAGGUGUUAAGGUUAAUAACCUUAGCAAUUGACGUUAGCGACAGAAGAAGCACCGGCUAACUCCGUGCCAGCAGCCGCGGUAAUACGGAGGGUGCGAGCGUUAAUCGGAAUUACUGGGCGUAAAGGGCACGCAGGCGGUUAAUUAAGUUGGAUGUGAAAUCCCCGGGCUUAACCUGGGAAUGGCAUUCAAGACUGGUUAGCUAGAGUCUUGUAGAGGGGGUUAGAAUUCCAUGUGUAGCGGUGAAAUGCGUAGAGAUGUGGAGGAAUACCGGUGGCGAAGGCGGCCCCUGGACAAAGACUGACGCUCAUGUGCGAAAGCGUGGGGAGCGAAACAGGGAUUAGAUACC
rnacentral:rRNA from 1 species